ACUGAAUAGAUACCCGGGUAGUCCCAGCUGUAAACGAUGCAGACUAGGUGUUUGGACGGCCACGUGCCGUUCUAGUGCCGCAGGGAAGCUGUUAAGUCUGCCGCCUGGGGAGUACGAUCGCAAGAUUGAAACUUAAAGGAAUUGGCGGGGGAGCACCACAAGGGGUGAAGCUUGCGGUUUAAUUGGAGUCAACGCCGGAAAUCUCACCGGGAGCGACAGCAGUAUGAAAGCCAGAUUGAAGGUCUUGCUAGACGAGCUGAGAGGAGGUGCAUGGCCGUCGCCAGUUCGUGCCGUGAGGUGUCCUGUUAAGUCAGGCAACGAUCGAGACCCGCGUCCUCUGUUGCAACCAGUUUUGUGCUGGGCACACUGAGGAGACCGCCACUGAUAAAGUGGAGGAAGGAGCGGGCCACGGCAGGUCAGUAUGCCCCGAAUCUCCCGGGCCACACGCGAGCUGCAAUGGCAAGUACAAUGGGUUCCGACCUCGAAAGGGGGAGGCAAUCUCGAAAGCUUGCCGUAGUUGGAAUUGA
rnacentral:rRNA from 1 species